rnacentral:rRNA from 1 species
AUUGAACGCUGGCGGCAUGCCUUACACAUGCAAGUCGAACGGCAGCGGACCUUCGGGUGCCGGCGAGUGGCGAACGGGUGAGUAAUAUAUCGGAACGUACCUUUCAGUGGGGGAUAACGUAGCGAAAGUUACGCUAAUACCGCAUAUUCUGUGAGCAGGAAAGCAGGGGAUCGCAAGACCUUGCGCUGAUUGAGCGGCCGAUAUCAGAUUAGCUAGUUGGUGAGGUAAAGGCUCACCAAGGCGACGAUCUGUAGCGGGUCUGAGAGGAUGAUCCGCCACACUGGAACUGAGACACGGUCCAGACUCCUACGGGAGGCAGCAGUGGGGAAUUUUGGACAAUGGCGGCAAGACCUGAUCCAGCCAUGCCG